UACCUCCUUUGCCCUCUUGCUUGACGUAACCUCCAUCUCACAGCUGCCGAGGAAAGCGAGAGAGAAGAGAGCCCGAGCACACGAGAAAAAAAAAGGCGGCGCUGCUACACCCGAAGCCGCUUCGCGCUGCUCCUUCCUUGGGCCUCUUCCGGGGCGAUGCGCAGCAAAGACACUGACACACAAGGAAACGUGCUUAGCAAGCAUUUGCAUUCACAGCUACAUAUGGAGCGGGUCAAAGUCAGACUAGCAGCUCGAGCGGCGGGUGCCAAAAAUAAAUAAUAAUACACUCCUAUUAACCAGCGAAUAUGUAGCGAUGGCAAUCUCUCCUUCUCUUUUCUCCUUUUACAUGAGAGCGUCGGACUGUGAAGUUCUCACGCAGGGAAAAGGCAAAGGAAGGGGGGAGUUACCAGAGUUCGAGAAAAGAGUGCAGGUGGAAGCAGGCAAGCUAACGAAAAAGCGACCAGAAGCGACUUUCAACGCUGCUGUUGACCGCAACACUCCGCCCCCGCUUUCAUCCUUCUUUUACGAGCGUUCUGCAUCCGUGUUUGCUUCCGUGUGUCUUCGUCUGUGCAUUUUCUUUUCUUGCUUUUGCGACUGCUUUGUCCCUCGACCGCUAUAUGAUCUCUCUCUCUGUCCUCCAUGAGCCCUCGCGAUCCUCGUACGGUUGCUUGAGAGACUCCGUGUUUGCGUGUGUGUACGUGGGUAGUCUUCUUUUUCUGCUCAAGGAAGCGGCGCAGCUUGGGAUGAGUUUUUCACUCAAAUCGCUCCCUGCUGUGCUCCUUCCCCUUGCUUCUGUAGUGGCGCAUAGGCUGCCUUUUGUGAAUUGCUGGCACACGCUCACGCGAUAGCACGUUCACAUGCUUUCCCCCAUCAUACACACACACACACACAAACCCUCCCCUUGCUGGACUUAUUACACUCGCUCCUGCGAAUGUGUGUGGGGGGAGGGAGGGUGUUUGAAGGUCUUUAUGAGUCUCUUUUCUUCUCUGCAUACACUCGAUCAAACAAGGUACGGAUGGCAAG
rnacentral:misc_RNA from 1 species